rnacentral:tRNA from 1 species
GCAACUAUAGUUUAAUUGUAAAAACAAAUAACUGUAAAUUAUUUUAUAAGGGUUCGAUUCCCUUUAGUGCG